CUUCAGCGACGCCGCGUGCGGGAUGAUUGCCUUCGGGUUGAAAACAGCUUUCAGCUCUGACGAAUCUUUUGUGACCGUAGGAGCAGAAGAAGCACGGGCUAACCACGUGCCAGCAGUGGCGGUAACACGUAGGGUGCCAGCGAUGUCCGGAAUAAUUGGGCGUAAAGAGCUAGUAGGUGGCUUGUCGCGUCUGCUGUGAAAACCCGGGGCUUAACCCCGGACUUGCAGUGGGUACGGGCAGGCUAGACAGUGGUAAGCGAGACUGGAGAUCCUGGUGUACCUGUGGAAUGCCUAGAUAUCAUGAUGAAGACCGAUGGCGAAGGCAGGUCUCCGGGCCAUUACUUACGCUGAGAAGCGAUAGCGUGGGGAGGCAACAGGAUUUGAUACCCUUGUGGUUC
rnacentral:rRNA from 1 species